GCUAAGAUGGGGCCAGCCUCUUACUUACCACUUGGACAGAGAAAAGAAUGGGCAGUUUUCCCCCAAAGUUGAAAGCUACCAAGGAGAAAGGCUGCAGAACAGGACACAAAAUUAUAUAACCACUUCAAGGGCUCCAGUUGAGAAUAUAGAAAAGUAAAAGGGAAAGAUUUUCCCCUCUGCUUUAUUCUUGGUCGUCAUCUCGUUGAUGUUACUAGGGCAAGUAUUGCCACAUUACAGAUAAGAAGACUGAGGCUUGUACUAUGUAGCCGUCUUGGAUCCACUACCUAAUGGUACUUGAGGAAUCCAUCUCAAAGGGAUUGAAGAGAUGGAAGGUCUGGCCUGCAGACACUUAACAGUCAAGAUCAUCUGCAUAUUGAGGACAGUUACCACCCUUGCUCUCCUACCACUUCAAAUAGCUCAUUCUCAAGCUCUAGGCUUGAGAAGCCACUGUCCUUCAUCCCUCCCAAGGGACCAAAAGCCACUCACUCUUUGGGACAAUUUUCAUCACCUACUGGAAGGCCCAAUGUUGCAACGUAGGGAAGAUGUGUAUAUGAACCAGGCUGAGAAUGCUGCAGUGUGCACAACCCAAACACUGCUUAUCUACUUCCUGAAUGGCUCAGAUGGUUCUUGGU